rnacentral:tRNA from 1 species
GCCGCCUUAGCUCAGUAGGUAGAGCAAAGGACUGAAAAUCCUUGUGUCUGCGGUUCGAUUCCGCGAGGCGGCA